AUUCCAGCUCCAGUAGCGUAUAUUAAAGUUGUUGCAGUUAAAAAGCUCGUAGUUGGGUUUCUGGUACGGCGCGUUUGGCCGACACCCGUUAGGGUGUUCUGUGCCGUGCGCGCCUGCCAUCUUUCUAGAAAACCUCUCUACCCUUCACUGGGCCGGAUUGGCAGAUCUAGAACUUUUACUUUGAAAAAAUUAGAGUGUUUAAAGCAGGCUUGUGCUAUGAAUACAUUAGCAUGGAAUAAUAAUUUAGGACUUUGGUCCUAUUUUGUUGGUUUCUAGGACCGAAGUAAUGAUUGAUAGGGAUAGUUGGGGGUGCUAGUAUUCAGCGGUCAGAGGUGAAAUUCUUGGAUUCGCUGAAGACUAACUUAUGCGAAAGCAUUCACCAAGGAUGUCUUCAUUA
rnacentral:rRNA from 1 species